AUGAGCAUGUUUUGCACCACUCUCCUGCUGCUGACCAUCCCUUCAUGGGUUCUUUCCCAGAACACCCUGAAGGAGUCUGGUCCUGUGCUGAUGAAACCAACCCAGACCCUAUCGCUGACCUACACUUUCUCUGGAUUAUUACUGAACACUAGUGGUACGGGUGUAGGCUUAAUCCAUCAACCUCCAGGGAAGGCACUGGAGGUGCUUGCAAUUAUAUAUUGGGAGGAUGAUAAGUGUUCAGCCCAUCUCUGGAGAUACAGCUCACAACUUUCAAAGACACCUCCAAAAAUCUGGUGUUUCUAACUAUGACCAACAUGGACCCUGUAGAUACAGCCCCAUAUUACUGUGCAAGAAGUUCAUGGAGACACAGCCCAGGGAAACUUCUGUUCAAAAAUCUGAGCUGA